GGACGAGAUAUACCGUAAACAGCUGUCGUAUUGCCAAGUAACGUAGUUGGUAGGAGUAAUUGACGUACUGGUGGGACUUCGAGCAUAACCAUAAGUCGUGUGUGGACAUUGGCAAAGAGACAUAGGAGGUGGAAGUGGAAACGAUCAAGUGCCGCGCGAACGUUGGUUAAAAGCCAUAAUUGUUGUUGAUACAUGUAGACCGUUGUCAUGACGGUGGCUGAUGAAUUAUUCGAAGGAUAAAUGAAAAUUUCGAAAUCUAGACUGAAUAAUUGUGCAUGACUAUCGUGUUUCUAUCUAGCACACAACGUUUGUUUGUGUCGUAUAGAAUUGCCAAUGAAAACUGAAAAAUGAAUUUUUUUAGCUGCCUAAUUUUUCUUGAUAAAAUGUAAACUUUCUGAUCGUUACUCAAUUCUGGGAUGGUGUAAUCACUCAUGUGUCAACAGAUGAUUAUCGUUCCUUGAUUUAACUAUAACGUAUCUUGUAGGUCAAUUUUUACACCUAAGCAGUGCCUACUGCUGUUUUCUUAUCGGAUAUCUAGCAUAUGCUGAGAAAUACUUCGAGAAAAAUAAAUGAAACUAAAUCCUGCAACGUGAUUGUUGCAACUAACAGGAAUAAAUGAAUAACGACCCGUUAUAAUCUUCCGUUUUUACUGUCGUUGACCGUCAAUAUUACGCUGGUUAUACGUUUCGUACGACAACAAUAAUGAAAACGGAAGAUUAUAACGGACCGUUAUACAUAAUCGAGGCCGUUAAAAGAAGAACACUGCAAAUACGAGAGGCGAAAAAGACUGUCUCCAUGGCGCACGCUAUACUUUAAGUAACAAAACUGUGGUUUACAAUUUGUAUUUUUUUUUUAAAGUGCAGGGUUACGUAUUCCGAUGCUAUUUUCUUGUGCCGUCGCAAACACGAUUACCUUACGUACGAAACGCAGGCAUUAAAAGACGCCUAAGCCACAUUAGUGUUACAUAAAAGACGCAAUAACGAGAUAAAGUAUAACUUGACGCAAAUUCGAAAUAUUUUCGGAGUUACAAAAGAAAUAGCGAGCAAGCGUCGAGCAGGUGUACGAGCGGUUUUUUGAAGUUUUCAACCAGUUUUUUGAAGAGUCUGAACCAGUUUUUUGAAGUUUUGAACCAGUUUUUUGAAGAGUCAGAAGGGCAACUCUAUGGACCAGGAAUCGCUGAUUAGUAUAUUAAUGCGAUGGAAAUUGCGACCUGCACCUUUCCCGCCGCACGACAAAUGCAUACUCGAGACGCCUCGGUGAAAUGGUUGUACCAGGCAUAACAUGACAUGUAUCCUAAUGAAAAAAUUCGAGAAGACUGUUGAAAUACAUAACAAUAAACCCUGAAAGUUUCGUUUU
rnacentral:lncRNA from 1 species